CCGCAAUUUGUCAUGCUCAGGAUGAACGCUGGCGGCGUGCGUAAUACAUGCAAGUCGAGCGAACAGACAAGGAGCUUGCUCCUUUGACGUUAGCGGCGGACGGGUGAGUAACACGUGGGUAACCUACCUAUAAGACUGGGAUAACUUCGGGAAACCGGAGCUAAUACCGGAUAAUAUUUCGAACCGCAUGGUUCGAUAGUGAAAGAUGGUUUUGCUAUCACUUAUAGAUGGACCCGCGCCGUAUUAGCUAGUAAGGUAACGGCUUACCAAGGCGACGAUACGUAGCCGACCUGAGAGGGUGAUCGGCCACACUGGAACUGAGACACGGUCCAGACUCCUACGGGAGGCAGCAGUAGGGAAUCUUCCGCAAUGGGCGAAAGCCUGACGGAGCAACGCCGCGUGAGUGAUGAAGGUCUUCGGAUCGYAMAACUCUGUUAUUAGGGAAGAACAUACGUGUAAGUAACUAUGCACGUCUUGACGGUACCUAAUCAGAAAGCCACGGCUAACUACGUGCCAGCAGCCGCGGUAAUACGUAGGUGGCAAGCGUUAUCCGGAAUUAUUGGGCGUAAAGCGCGCGUAGGCGGUUUUUUAAGUCUGAUGUGAAAGCCCACGGCUCACCGUGGAGGGUCAUUGGAAACUGAAAACUUGAGUGCAGAAGAGGAAAGUGAUUCCAUGUGUAGCGGUGAAAUGCGCAGAGAUAUGGAGGAACACCAGUGGCGAAGGCGACUUUCUGGUCUGUAACUGACGCUGAUGUGCGAAAGCGUGGGGAUCAAACAGGAUUAGAUACCCUGGUAGUCCACGCGUAAACGAGAGUGCUAAGUGUUAGGGGGUUUCCGCCCCUUAGUGCUGCAGCUAACCGGCAUAAGGCACCCCCCU
rnacentral:rRNA from 1 species